GGAUGGACUGCCAGACCGAAGGCUUCAUGAAAGAACUGUGCUGCUGUGAACGUCUGUAUAUGGGCGUAUAGAAGAUUUCACACAGGCAUAGUUUUUAACUGUCUUGAGUACUUGUGGGCAUUGGCAUCCGCUCAGCAUCUGCUAGGGCCUCUGUGCUGGGUCCAGACAUGGCUCCGUUUCACUUGUGGGUGCCCCUUUAAUACCCGAACAAUAUAUUAUAUAUUGUUUCUUUACUAAUCUCACUGCACUUGCCCAAAAUUCUCCUCCUGAGACUUAACCAGAGAACAGAGUCUCUGCUGGGCUUUUCUGAGACUUCCUUUGUCGGUGCAAUGAAUCUGAGUCUUCACCUUAGCCUCAGGUAGACUCUUCAGACAGGGGCAAAAAGCAGCCACAUUCUUCACCAAAACACCACAAAAACAAUCUCCAGGCCACACACUGAAAUUAUUCUCCCUGAAGCCUCCUGGGCCAGGUCUAUGCAGUUAAAAUCACUCACAGCCACAAAGUCUUCCUGCCAGGAUAGCUCAUUGGGCCCCACUCAAACCAUUUCUUGGCUUUCCAAAUCCAAAGUCACAAAAUUCACGUUCUUCCAAAUAAAAGUAUGGUGAGGCCUAUCAGUAAUACCCAGGCCUUGGUAUCAACUUCUGACUUACUUAGGGUUUUACUGCUGCGGACAGACAGUGUGACCGAGGCAGCUCUCACAAGGACAACAUGUGACUGGGGCUGGCUUACAGGGUCAGAAGUUCAUUCCGUCAACAUCAUGGCAGGAGCAGGGCAGCGUCCAGGCACGAUGGUGCAGGAGGAGGUGAGAGUUCUCCAUCCUCAUCUAAAGGCUGCUAGCAGAGCACUGAGAGACUUACAACCCACACCCACAGGGCUAUGCCCACUCCAGCAGGGCCAAACCCUCUCCAGCAGGGCCAAACCCACUCCAGCCAGGGUCACACUUACUCCAGCAAGGCCACAACCACACCCACUCCAGCAGGGCCACAACCACCCCCACUUAUUUCUGGCUCUUAUUUCCUUUAAGUAUGAUAUCUGGGACCUUUUGGUGGGACACCAUCUAGCUCCUUCCCUCUAUGUCUAUUGUCUGACCUUGGUGCUCCAAGCUGUCCUUGUAUGUCAGUUUAUGGCUGGGUUUUGCUUCUAGUUGCUUGAAUGUUUUGUGUUUCAUGUUUAAAAGAAAAACAUGGUUAAAACUUUAAAUGCUGGUUGAUUCCUCCCUUUAUUUAGUUUUAAGUCCUUUCAGGAAAGGAACAAAUAAAUAAAAAGCAGUUUAAAUUGACCUUUGGAGAUCUGCAUCAUAGAUAACUGGUUAUCUCUGGUGUCACAGUCAUGCAUGUCUCUGACUGGAUCUGGCAUCAAUGGAGGAAUGUAGCUAGGAGCCUAGGUCUGUCCACUGGGGAAGCUCCCCAGGAGGCUGGCUAAAUGUUUACACUAGCUGAUCUUAAAUGUGCCAGCAGCCUCAAAGCUCCUAUGGUAAUGGAGCUGUUAGCUGUUUCUCUUAGAGAAAUCUUUAACUGUGAUUAUUGGAUUCAACAGGUAACAAGGUGCUUCUUUUAAAAUGACAGCCAGAAAAAGUAAAAAUGGUAUUUGAUCUAAAUACUAAAGAUAUGUGUUGUCACUUCAUUUUUUUUCUGUUUGGUUUUAAAUGUACAAUGCGCUCUACAUGUCUUGGCUAUAGGUGACUGGCUUUUAAGUUAUUGGGUAUGGUUAAAAGUUUGUAACAUUGGUAACAGAAAGUGGCUUAAAACUGGAGUCAUUCUAGACAACACGUGGCAUGAGCCAACAUAGGGAAACAGGUCUAGAUUGGGAUCAUAUUUUAAUAUAACUCUUAUCAUGGAAACCAGACUUUUAAAAGAAUUUAGGGCAAUGUCUCUUUGGUGAGGUAUUAGAGCCUGCACCAUUGCUCGUUCAUAUGCAAGACUUGGCAGUCAUACUUUAUAGCUCGAGGAAUGGACUUGGAGUUUUGGAGAGACAGGAUUUUAGAGAAUAGAUUGUUUGUUGGAGGGUGACUUUUGCUUUCCAAAGUUAUGGCUGUGCUCUUGUGUUACAAGGGAAACUUAAAGAUUGUGGUUAAUGAUUGCCAGUGUUACAUUGACUACUGUUUACAGUUCGGUCACAGAGAGACGCAGGAUUCUAACUCACACAUAUUGGUAAUUCAGGAAAAAUCAAACAGGUGGAGAUUGUUACGAAGGGUUGAUGAGACUACGGAACUUAUAAGAGCAUUACAGCCUGAUUGCUUACUCCAAAUGCUAUUUCAAGAAAUACAUAUAGAAUUAUGAUAGGUUUAAGAGAUUGUUUUUAUGCUGUUUCUUUGCACUCUGGGGUUGUUAUGAAAUAUUGCAUUAUUGUGUUUUCUUGGGUGUUGUUUGCCUUGACCAUACAUUUGUAUGACUUUUUCAAAGAAAAGUGUAUUCACUCUUAUUUAUUUUGAUGAAUUGUUCUUUGGCUGACUUUUGUCUGUGGUCCCUCUGCAUGCAGUUCCCUCAGUGGCCAGCAGAUGGCACUAGAUACCCUGUUACAGAUGAUGGUUAAGCACACUAUAGGUCCUCUGAGUGAGCAGCAGAUUUUGCAUUGGGUUCUGUUGUUUAUGACCUGGAGUUUGCCUCUCCCCUAUGUUUAUCUCUGGUGUUAACUGUCAUUCAUGUCUCUGACUGGAUCAGGCCUCAGUGGAGGAAUGUAGAGCUCUGUGAGCUGGGUGACAGCUGGUCUCCUGGGAGUCAGGUAGUACUGUCUCUGUUUAGUGUGGGCCUCCUGUGUCUCUGGUUAGAGCAGGCCUCCAGGGUCCCUGGAGUUUAAAGCCACAGGCCUCAGAGAAUUUUGAGAGAGUCUGUCCUAUUAUUUUCUAUCUUCCCUUCACAUUUCCUACAUGUUUAAUAGAGUACAGAGUUGGUAACUAUGAAUUAUAUUUCCUAGGUAUCUCUCAAACCAAGAGUUUGCAUGUGACUAAGUUCUAGCCAGAAACAUGUGAACAGUGUCCAUAGACAAAAUGACUGCCAUUUUCUUCUUUAUGUUUACCCUCCCUAGUACUGAGGAUCAAAUUCCUAUAUUCUCAAAGAUAGUUGCUUUAUUCAAUAUCAAGAAUGUAUGUGUAAAGUGUCAACAUCUGGUGUUGGGAAUUGUCUUAUUUUGUCCCCAAAAAGCGUCACUUCUAGACCUGAGUGCCCCGAGGGCUUCAACUGAUAAUAAAGAGUUGCCAUAGCCAAUGGCUGAGCAGAAAGAUAGAAAGACAGGUCAAGGGUUUAGGAGAGAGGAAAGGAUGAAGAGAGUCACCAUGAUCCAGAGUUAGAAGGAUCAGAUUUAAGAGCUACAGGAGAGAAAGCAGCCUAUGAUGUUGGAAGAAGGGAACUGGACCCUAUUGGGGGAGUGGGGUGUUUCCCAGAAGGUAACAGGGCAGCAAAGAUAAAACAUAGAUUUAAAAGGUGUUAAACCUGGGAUGCUGGGUGGAAGGGAGAUGUAUGGUAGCUGUCAGGAGAAUUAGAAAUGUGCCUUUCAUUCUCAAAACUGGAGAACUCUUGGGCAGGUGCCAUGACUGUACUAAGGAGCCAAAGUUCUUUAAUUAAUUCACUGCUACAGUCUGGUACAUUGAGGUCCCAAGUGAGGGUCGCAUUAACCUGGACAAGAGUUACACAGCCCAGUCAGCCAAUGCACAGUUUAUUCAGCUUCAACUUCUUUUAAAGGCAAAGCAGGAUAAAAGUUUCCCACCAUUUCUAGGUCUCACCAGCUGCUAUUUCUCUAGCAAUAGCACAUCUUGGAUCAAAGUGACCCAAACUUCCUUGCAGAAUCUGUCAGCAGUCCAACUCUUAGAUGUGUUAGAGGUGCUGCUGUCUAAUUAAGCUAUAAACAAAGUUACUUUCUCAUGAGAAAAUGACCAUGAAGUCCACGUCCUCAGGUUCGCAGCUUAUUUGGGAGACAGAGCACCAGGAUCCUCUGCUUGAGGAAUUGCCUCCUCUGUAUCUCAGUGUGCUGAGAGUGACCGAACCAUCCUAGGGUGCCCUGCAGCUGGCAAGCUAGGAGCAGUCGCCUCAUGACAUUUCUCUAAAUUAAAGAAAAAUAGUGUCAACCCUAAUCCCUAGAGAAUGGCUAAGCAGACAGAGGGACCUGUGGCCCUGAAUAGCCAGAGAAAUGCUGCCCUCUGUGGAUUGGCUGCCUACCUUUUGGCUAUCACAGGCAAGGGAAAACUCUCAAUAUUUGCACCAGAUCCAGUCUUUUCCAAUAGUUUGGCCUGUGCCCUAAUUAACUUAAAAACACUUAAUAAUUUUAGUAUUAAUAAUUUAUUACAAAUUUCAGCUACAUAAUUCAGACUGUGCCUAAAAUGGGAAAAAUGAAAGGAAGUAAAUUCUUAGUAAUCUCAGAUGUAAUAAUCAGGGACUUUAGAGAAUUAUAGAGCCUUUGUUGUAUAACUAAACCUUCAAGAAGUUACUCUUAAACCUUGAGUGUAACCAAGCAAGACUGAGCCAGAAAGCAACAUUCUGAUUCACUUUUAUACUAGACUCAAGGACAAUCAUAUACAAUACACACAUCAAUCACAGACAUUUUCUUUUGUCCUCUCCUGCUUACAUGGAAAGCAAUGGAGCCAGAAACUCUGAUGAUAAACUUCAGUCCAAACACAAGAAGCCAAUUAAAAUAACAACAACAAUAAAGAAACCUGGUUUGAUAGCACACACUUUUGCUGGGGGGACAGAGACUCCAUAUCCUCCCUAGCCAGUCAGCCGGGCUGACCUGUCCUAUUCCUAGUCAAAUGAAAACUCCCAUUUUAUAAAAUCUGGUGGAUGGCACCUGAAGAGUAAACCCCAAGGUUGUCCUCUGGCCUGCACACAUGCAAGCUCACAUAUGCAGAGCCACAGGACCAAACUAGCCUGUAAAAGGUUUAUCAUGAGCCAGGAAGAUAGCUCAAUGUGUAAAGGUACUUGUGUGGCCAAGCCUGACAUAAUCAGUUCAAUACCUGGGACCUACACAGAAACCUGACUCCUACCAGAUGGCCCUGACCUCCAUGCUUUGAGGUUUGGUCUGUUGCUCUGUAUUGUAAUGGUAACUGCAGGCGUCCACGGGCUGAUUGUCCCAGAGACAAGAGAGUCCACAUGUAGACCCAAGUGAUACUAUGUAAACUUGUGUCCCCAAAUUAUUUCUGAUAGAUGAAUAAGGAUUCCAACAGUCAACAGCUGGGCACAGGGAGGGUUUAGCAUCCCAGGACUUGAGGCAUCCAAGAAGAACCAUGAGGAAUAAAGAAGGUGAAGGGAGGAGGAAGCCGCCAUGGGUCAGGUGGGUUGGCUAAUUGGUGUUAAGAGCAGCCCAGAUGAAACACAGUAAAUUAUAUAGUGGGAUUAUAAGCUGGGAAACAGACAUAACAACCAGAGGAUCCAUAUCUGCCCAGCUCCUGUGCUGAUUAAGGCUUAAUGUAAAUAUAAAGCUUGUGGGUGUCUUUUAUCUGGGAACUAAGUGGUCAGAGGCAGGGGAGAAAACCUGGGUUGGGAUUAAAUAAUUUCUACAACAUCUACACUCACAACUCCUGCCCCUCUACACACACACACACACAAAAUAAAUGUAAUUUUAAAAAGGGGGAUAAGGAACUUGUCAUCAACCAUGGGGAUCCAAGUUCUAUCACUAAAACCCAUGUGGUAGGAUGAUGACCUCCUCACUCAUUGUCCUCUGACCUACAUAUAUGCACACUAACAUAUAGGCAUAUGCACACAGAAUACGAUAAUGUAUCAAUUAACGGAUUAAUAAUUUAAUUAAAGUUUUUUGAAAUCAUCUGUUCUUGGUCCCCGCUCACUUCUUUCUUUGGUUUAAACAGCUCGCUUCCCCACAUCUGCCUCUCCUUCUCACAUGCCUUUCAUGCUUGCAUGUGUGUUUCUCCUCUCUUAGUGUCUAUGUUUAACUCUAUAUUCACUUGUUUAUAAACUACAGAUCUGGUGGCUAGACACAUGGUUUCCUGGUUAAAAGAACUUGCUGUGGGAUCAUAAGGCUUGGAGUCCAAAUCCUAUCAUCCUGCAAACACCAGCUACUACAUCUGCCAGGAAUCAGACAACAUCCUCUUGGGCAGAAAUAAUGAAGUACUGCCAGUAAUUUGGAGGAACAUACACUUACAAAUAUAUGGCAAAAGUGCAAAAGUUGUCCUUUUAAAAUGUAGCUCACAAAAGUGUUAGGACCUGGGAUAUAAAUCAAAGGGAAGUAAAAAUUCUGGUUCCUUUUAUACCAUGUGAGCCAAUCAAGUACUGUUAUGUCUACAAACCUGUUCCUUUGUCCUUACGCCAAAUUUAAAUAGUGCUUUGGGAUAUUAAAUGGGAAACCACUUAGCAAAGAGUCCUGGAGCAUAGUCCAUACUAUGGACUUCACCAAUUAUUAUUAAGUUUUGGAACAAAUGUUAAAAAACAAGUAGGGUUUCAUGUACAUUUUUAAGUGUCAGGCUCAAGGCUUACAAUCCUAUGACAUAAGGUUGAGAGUGAUAUAUAAAAGGAAUUACAAAAUAUCAUUUGCCAAGGAAAAAUGCUAAGUAAAAAUACGCUUCAACUUGAGAACCAAAAUACAACAUGUAGGAAAGCUCCUUGUACAAAAUGGUAGAAAACAUCACACUAAAGAUAAUAAGACACCUCUCCUUCCUGAACACUACAAGAAACAGAAUUCCCUGAGAUCUUCUAGGGUUUUCCUGUCUGGAUAAAGGAAGCCCCAGUAAGUUCUCUCGUCACCACAGUCGUAUUUCCAGUAGAACAUCAAAGCAAAACCUAGGAAAGGCUUUCCCAUUCUCAGCAAUUCAUUUUUAUUUCAUUCUAGACUUACCGAUAAACUACUUCGAAAGGCAAACAAAUUUUGGUAGGCAGCAAAAUUUCACUCAAAAAAUAAAUAAAAAUGAAUUCUAUUUUAUCUUUUGACAACAAUGAAAAGUGUCAGAGAACAAGAAAUGGUAACACACCUUUAAUCCCAGCACUCUGGAGACAGAGGUAGGUGGGCAGAUCACUUGACUUUGAAACCAGGCUGAUCUAUAGGCUACUCAGGAAGUUUGUGCAUCUCUGAAAAAUCCAGCCUCCAACAAAAGGAGGGAGGGAGGGAGGGAGAGAGAGAGAGAGAGAGAGAGAGAGAGAGAGAGAGAGAGAGAGAGAGAGAGAGAGAAAGAGAAAGAAAGAUCCAAUUUAAUUAAAAAGUUUGGAUUAUCUGUUUAUAUGUUUCUUUGUUCGGGGACUGGAGUGCAGAGGGUUUUCUAGCAAAAUAAAGCAAGCAGAAUUUACUUAUGAAGCCUGCAGGAUCAUUUCCCACAGCAGUACUAUCCACCCCACUGCUAAACUCUGCAGAGCAUCGAUGGAGUGGGUAUGAAACUUCUCUAGUUUUCCUUCAAGCUGUAAACUGCAGGCCAGUAGCAUCCUCAAUGCUGCCUCCCAAAGUGGCAUCUUCAUCUUAUACCAUCUCAUCCCAUGUGGUUGGGGGAAUGAGAAGGAUAUGCAGGCUCUGAUGCUGUUUCCCCUGUGUUUACUUUCCAAAUGCUUUUAUAUCCUUGCUGUUUUCAUGUUCCCCUUAUAACAAGAGCCUCUGUGGCACUAUUUCUGUGUAAUUGUCUCUAGCUUGUCACUACAUGAGUACAUGGUGGCCAGACUCUGCUGACUUUAAUAGAUACCAGAGAAAAUAUGAGAUCCACACCCCAACCCCCUCUGCCUUUAUCUUGCUAGUCUCCACCCAGCUCAGUAGUGCAUCGUGAGAGGAUUCUCACAGAGGUGUGUGGACAGUCUAGUUUCUGAUGAACAAGCUCUGUCUACAUCACUUCCUCAAUGACAACCCCUCAAACCCUAGGAGAUGCAUCCUAGUAAUGUGAGACAGCCAGUAUGAAGCCCCUGACUUUUGCUUAGGGCAAACAUUUAAGCAGGGCAUACCCUGAUCUCAGGUUCAGGGCAGUUUGUCUGCCUGACAGGUGGCUUUGUGUCUCCAUGAGUAAUCUCUACUUAAAGGCGGACUUGUCACAAGAAAGAGUCCAGAGCUGAGUCUUACAUUCUAAGAACUUCACAUCUUAUCAAUUACACUUCUGGGCUGCGUGUUUUCAGUCGCCACAUAUUCAAGUCACCAGUUUUGUUUGUUUGUUUGUUUGUUUGUUUGUUUCCAGUAUUGGACACAGAGAGGUAGCAGUUCUACUGUGUUCUGUGUUUCGGACAUAUGACUGGAUGGUUGACUUUCUGUCUCUACUUCCGCAGUUAGACCAUCAUGCUGAAUUAGUAAGUUGGAAUCCUCAUUUUGUAGUUCAAAAGUGACUUCUUUCCACUUCUAAUUGUAGCAUCAGCAUCUGAGUACAAGUUUAGUUUAUACAUAGUCUAGGAUUUCUUAACAGAAAAUAUAUUGAUACCCUCAGCUUUAGAACUGAGACAUAAAGCUUUGCUAAUUUUCAGUUCCUGUUCUUGAGGCCAUUGUAUUUGGGGAACAUCAUGUGAUUAGUAAUUGCACGUCAACUUGGUCAGGCACGGGAUGCCCAGGAGCUGACUAAAUAUUAUGUCUUACAGUAUCUGGAAGAGUGUUCUAAAGAGUUUAGCAUCCACACUGGUGGACUAAAGGACAUAACUUCUCCUCUGUGUGUGUGUGUGUGUGUGUGUGUGUGUGUGUGUGUGUGUGUGUGUGUGUGUGUGACAUCUGGCCAGUUGCUGGCUGAAUAGAAAGAGGAAUAUAGGUGAAGGUUGAUUCCUAGCUUGAUUUGGGGGAUUGAUCUGUCAGUGUUAUUUUUAAUUCUCAGGCUGUCAGGCUGACUAGAUCUCAACUGUGACCUCUACAGUUUUGAGAUUUCUUUCAAACAUAACACUGACUUUACAAGUAGAAACACAUAGAGAGCCACAUGUAAGUCAAGGGCUGGAAUACAGACUGAGAAAACUGUUCCUAGGCAGUUUUGUAGCUUGAGUGUGAAAUACACUAUUGAAAAAACAUUGUGCAUCAUAUGACUGUGUAUACAGAACACACAUGCAGAGAGAGACAUAUACAAUUGGUUCUAUUUCUUUUAUUUCUUUGAAGAAGUCUGACUAAUACUUAGUACUUGAAAUCUAAAAUUCAUAGUUUUCUUUAUGGAUCUGUAAGUCAGAGGCUUUGGAAGGCAAGUUACUUGCUGUAGGUCAUUCUUCAAAGGAAGGCGACGAUAAACAUGAAGGAAAGGUGAACGUCGUGGAGGAAGUUAACACUGGGCCUGCAUAGUUACAUUGGGAGGACUCGUGUCUUUCAAAACACUCAAUCUUUACUUCCUGAUUUCUACACAUGUCUAAAUGUUUUCAAAAGGAGUUCUAAGAACUCCAUCUGUGCCUGGUAGUAAACUAGACAAGGCUCACACCAUUCACUGUAGCAACUGAAGUCACUGAAACCUGGAGAUUAGAUAUAAAGGAUGUGCACUGUCAUCCACACAGUCCACAGAGUCCUGUGAAGUUUCUAUGUUGCUAGCUAUUGUAUGUUUGCUAUCCUCCAGCACCAUCAGUCACUAUCCUUGGUUCUUGUUUUGAGCCUGAACCUCAUUGAGGACCUGCUAGAAAGGCAGUCUGAGUAGAUCUCUGGUCAUAGAAGAUAGCAAGAAAGAUGAGCACCAUGAAGGUAACCUAGAACUCAUGAAGGACUGAAGCCUUUGAGGAUACACUGGAUGUGCACAUGUCUUACCGUCUCCAGCCUUAGUAGCACCAGUAUCCUGCAGAGGAGCUCAAUGAUCUGAAAAUGUACAUGACUUGAGACUUGAAGAACCAUUGGUGGAGACCGAGGAGUUCCAAGUGCAGAUGAUAUCCUAUGCAGCAGGAUGAGCCAGCAGGUCAGGAGGAGUGUGGGAUGCCACCAGCAUGCCCAGAGACUUGCAUUUUGUUUUUAGAGUGGGGACACAAUGGUGAUGCUUCUCUGCUGCUUUUCAGAUGACAGGCAACAUGACACUUGCUCAAUCGCAAGCGAGUGCUUGUCACAAGGAUUCUGGAUGGUGUUUUCUUCUGGAAGAUACAAGGAAACUCUACCAUUCAGCUCCUCUAAGGCUUCAGGCAUCUGCAUGGAAGGCACAGCAAGAGGAGAGACAGUGUCAGUGCAUCCACUGCUCCACCACAGUCUGCUUUCUCAUUAGGAAAACAAAAGGUCUCCCAGGAAUUCGGAGACCUGCAAAGAAGGAGUUUGAAACAGCUUUCAAAUGACUCAAAAGCGUUUUUAAAAAAAUCUAUUGAGUGAGUUCUCAUGUGAAGUUCAUAGAACACUCACUUCCUAGUUUGAAAAUUGGUAUUUGAGGAGCAAAUUAAACAUCCAAACUUCAUAAAAUCUUCCUAACAAUAUAUCUUAAGGAAACCAAAUAGGUCCAAAUGAUGACUGUUUUACUGUAUAGAAGGCUCUUAAUUAAGAAUAUGGAAGCAAUACAGAAUCAGAAAAGCCCACAUUCUGUAAUUCCUAUUAAAUUUAGCAAUUUAGUUACUAUGUUGAAUUCUAAUUAAAAUGUUUAGCUGUUGGGACCUAAGAAAGUCACAUAGGACCAAAAGUAACCUUGCAGAGAUGGCUUUCUUGUGGCUGAUUUCAUUUCAGUGAAAGCUCAGACUGGACCAACAAGCUCAUCAGGUAAAGGAACUUGCUACCAAGCUUGGUGACUUGAGUGUGAUCUCUGGAAUCAGGUCCAAAGGACAGAACUCCUCCAAAAGUUAUCCACUGAUGCCACACAGUGCACAGUGGAAUUCAUGUGCACAAGUGCACACAUACACACACACACACACACACACACACACACACACAAAGAGAGGAGGGGCAAGAAUAAACAUAAUAUAUUUUGCAAAAGCUCAAAUGUCACAGUGCCUAAGAAUGAAUCUUGGCAUCCAGUCAGUGUUGCAGAACAGAAGGCAGAAGCAGGCCAAGUCUUCAGCAAGCUAGCAUGUUUCUAAGAAUGUGGGUCCUGAGGCAAAACAAGGUUUGGAACCAGGGUGUGUUCAAACAAAUGGACCAUAAAAGGAUUUUUUGAGGACUUGAUGCAGACAUUUGCACUUGGACCAGAAUUAUUGUUAAUGUUGGCAUUCAUUCUACACUCCACUGAGCCAAGCUCCCUGGGCAAGCCAUCCCCAAAUAGGACUUGGAAGUGCCAUUUCCACAUCUAGCUACUAGGAUAAAGAGUCCCACCUCUAAAUCCCCUGCCUGUGAGUUCAGAGCAUUCCAGGGGUAUCUGAAAAGAUCUUCCCAGUACAGGCCCAAUACCUCUGAGACAUUCUCAUGCUCUUCCUACCCCAGGUUUAGUCUCCUUGAUGGUGACCUGGGCCCUUGAAAACAAAAGAAGUAAAUAGUUCUUAAGAAGCUGUGGCUUUUUGUUUAGCUUCUGGUUCUUAGAGGCUUUGAUGAGAAGCUAAAUUAUAGGAAAAAAGAUUUUGCACAUUAAUUUGGGAUCAUAGAAUUCACAUCCAACAAACUGGCGAGACUGGACUCAGAGCUGGAGAGGGGAGACCCAGAUGGAACUUGAGAACUGUCCAAAGCUACAUCCCAUUUCCCUUUGCAACUGCAAGAGCGGGAGAGACCGAUUUCUGAGUUGUGCUGAUUUGUCCUAUACUAGGCUUGGUAAUGAGAAAGCACAGUGCCUCCGUUUGUAGCCUCAAACUCCAGGCUCUCCUAUCUCAGUUUCCCAUGCAUCAGGAGGGCACGUAUGCGCUGCCAAAUUGCUAGCAGGAACAGAAAGAUUUCUGUAUUCUGUUAUCUUCUUCAUGGGCUGAGGCUGAGCCUGGAGUCUCUAUGUCAGUAGCAUCUUUCAAGGCUGUUCCUCUGCAGCUCUGAAACCUUUUUUUUUAAUACAAACCAAGUUUAUUUUGCCUUUUAAAUAGUGUUCAUAUAGCACUGCAGCUAGGUAAACAAUGUGAAUUAGUAUACGUCAUCUCAAAAGUCAGAAUCUUGUUAUCGUUGUUGUCGUUUUUUAAUGGGUUGUGAAAAAGAUGCAGCCUAUUCUAACAGGAUAAAUAUUUUUAACCAUUUCACUUUGAGUUAAGGAAGGCUCACAAAUGAGCAACAGUCCUCAUUGAGGAAAACAGAAAGCUAUUGUCGACAAGGGACAGCUCACACACACAAGCAAAAAGAACUGUGUAAAAAUAACUAACUGUUCCCAUAUUAAACCUUGAGCACUGGGGAGAUGCCUGAGGAGGUUCACUGUCAGAAUAUUCAAGCACUUGGGCACCCUCUAGAGGAACAACUUGAAAACCUACAAAACUUCAUUUGGAGAGGUUCACUGUCAAAAUAUUCAAGCACUUGGGUACCCUCUAGAGGAACAACUUGAAAAACCUUCAAAACUUCACUUGGAAAUAAGAAAAAUCUGAUUUUACCUAAGCUAUGAAAUUUUAAGCUCAGAAGUACCACUUGGACAUUUUUAUUUGGAAACCUCUCCAGAAAGUGUCUUGCUCAAAAGAACCCAUGAAAUGGGCGCAGCCACUGUCUUUGCUACUGUUCCAGUCCUUUCUGUACAGCAACACAGGGACAAUCAUCUCCAGUUUCUGAACUGCAGUAAACUGUAAGCACUGCUACAGUGUGGGACAGCUAGCUUUCCUCCAGUUCUUAGGGAUAGCAUUCUUAACAUUUGAAUGCCUGUAGCAUCGCUCAUCUUUGUCCCUUCUUCCUCCCUCCUUCCUGUCCUUCUAUUUGUCUGUGCUAGACAAGGUUCUGCCAUUAAACUGUCACCCCAUAUCUGAGUUUCUUUUCAUAGGAUUAAGUCACCAAAUCAUAUAAAGUCACAUCCCCUGAGAUGACAGCUUGUUUCCAUGUCACUUCCUUAUGGCUGUUCUUUUGAGAAAGGCUCUCAAUGCACAGCCCAGACUUAACACAACCUAGAGACCCUCCUGUCUCUGACUCCCAGUCCACAUCGCUUUCAUCUGAAAUGAGAUUAAAAGCUCAAGUUUCAACUUUUGUCUCCAGUCCUGGGAGCUUUCUCUCUUGAAGAUGCUCUGAUAAUUAAGUGGGCCAGCGUUGAUUGGAAUCAGUUUGACUUUGGGUUGGUAAAAAUUUUCACUGAGUUCAUGGACUUCAUUUCUUCUCUUUGAGUCUCUGAGAACCUGGUUCUUAUUUUGUUCUUCAGGGACCAAGAGUCCAGAGAUUAGAAAUACACCAAAGGUGAAGAUUCUAGUAAGAAACCUUGACCCAUAAACUCAGGCCUUAAAGAGAACGCUAAGGAUGACUUAGAAGUAAAGGCAAUGUAUUUUUACACUCUGUUCAUGGGGAGAAUAAAAAUCAGUAAGAUAGACGGAAAGAGAACACUAAAGACAACAGAGACCUGCCCAUGAGACCUUACAGGUAUCUGUUGGUUGGCGUUCUCUGUGAGCUUGUAGCCCCAACAUCAUCUCACCUGGAUGUUCUACUAACCUCAUGCCUUGUUAAGUUUACAGUUGUUUAAGAUCAGACAUAGUACCAGUGUCAUAGUCAAUGUUCUAUUGCUAUGAAGAGACAACGUGACCAUGACAACUCUUACGGAGGAAAAUUUUUAAUUGGGACUGGCUUAACAUUUUCAGGGGUCUAGUCUAUUAUUGUCACGGGGUAUGGGGUUGGGAACACAGGAAGCCAUGGUACUAGAGAGAUAGCUGAGACUUCUACAUUCCAAUCAGCAGGCAGCAGGAAGGGAGCAAAGGCAUUGGGCCUAGCUUGACCAUUGUUAGAUUCUCUUUUUGAUCACCAAGAAACAAAUAGAUUUAGGUCUGUGGAGAUUUCCAGGCAAAUGUGGUGGUUAGGCCCUGUAAUUGUAACAACUUGGAGACAGAGAAUAAGUCAAGGUGAAGACCAACUUUAGCCCAGAGUGAGACCCUGUCUCAAAAAAAAAAAAAAAAAAAACCCACGAAGAAAAACAAAAAAAGAAGAGCCUGAAGAAAUGUACCACACCUUGAUUACAUAACCUUCUUGAUACCCUGAGAUAUUACUGGGGUCAGGCUAGUUGGACAGUAAAUCUUAACAGUGAACAGCACUGAUCAAUCAAUAGGCCUUGACUGUAUAUAAAGAGAAAGGGGGUGGAGCAUAAGUAUUCAUUGCUGUCUGCGUUCUCAGAGAGGAUAAUAUGUAGACAGCUGCUCAACCUGCCAUGGUGGACUGUGGCCUCCAAUUGUUGGCCAACAUACACCACUUCAUUAAGUUGAUUCUCGGGCAUGUGAUUUAGUAAUGGGGAAGGAACUCAUGUGGUAGGACAUCUACAAAUCCGUGUGAACAGGCAGGCAUGUUAAAAAUAGGGAAAGGGUCCAGAGGAAGCUUCAUAAACAAGAAAAUCUCCAAAUUGCAGUCUUUAAGUAUACUGUAUGUACAACACCAACAUUAACAUGUAAAACAUAUCCAGAUUUCAAGGAGAGACAUUCUAGUCAUGGUGGCACAUGUGUGUAAUCCCGACACUGGGAAGAUGAAGCAGGAGGAUCUCUGUGAGUUUAGGUCAGCCAGGACUACAUAAGCUGGGAAGUGGAGUGGAGAUCUAUGAUUGCAAGGAGUGUUGUAGUCUAGAAGCCAGGAGAGGCAAUUUGAACAGAUGGUAGGUUUACUUCACUGCUAUAGCAACUAGAACUCUGCUUCAUUGAUUCUAGUCUUAGGGAAGAAGAAAAAUAAGAUCCUGCAUAUAGGUUCCACUUUUGAGCCAAGAUUCUGGAGCCAUGGCAGUUUGGGAAUCUUUUAGGGAAGUACGAUCUCAACCAAUGAUUCUCAGCCUCCCUAAUCCUGUAACGCUAAUAUAUUUUCUCAUGGCUUUGUGACUCUUAACCACUACUUCAUUUUGCUUCUCUUCAUGAUUCAAAUUUUGCUCCUGAUUUGAUUGUAAAGAAAAAUGGAUGGAAUAUCUGAUAUGGAAAAUAUAUGUGACCCCGUAUUGAUUAUGAUCCACAAGUUGAGAAUCACUGGUCUAAACUGCUAAUUUUAAACAAAAAUGUUUUUCAAGUACUUUCUACAAUGUACAUUGACCAUUACUAUUUUUGUUUUAUUUUCAAUAAAAAAAGGAUUUUAUUAUUAACAUCGAUGGAAGCUUACUAACCUUGGAUUUUUAUGAAAAUUGGCUUAGCAUCCCAGAUGGAACUCUGGCUGGAAAAAUUCAAAGGUAAUGAUACAGUAAACACUUGGGGAACUGCACCAAUAUAGACGCAAUGCUUUUGUAAAGUACAUAGGCUUGUGUUUACAGGAUUAUAAGCUGGAAUGAUGUUCUAUGCCAAGAGGUUUCCUUAGGUCAGACAUGUAUUGUCACUUUUUAAACAUUCCCAUUUCUCAAGCUAGCAUGUUGAACCAUGUUUGUAAUCUUACCUGGGAGCCUUCUCCUUUAUAAAUGUCAUGAUUUAGAAGACAGUCUAUGUAACACCACGUGUUCAGGUCAGUUUAGAGUAUUGGUUUAGUUGCUGUGUGAGACAAAUUAAAAGAAGUAAGUGUGUAUAAUACCUGUGGGUUACUCGCAUCCUAGAAUUGUUACCAUGGUAUUGUGAAUAGUUCACAUGGUCAAUAUGUGUCAUUGAUUAGAACAGGAAUCUCUUACUGAAUUCUUCUUUCUCAACUCUAACUACCUAGAGAAGUCUAGAUCAGGUAUAGCUUUGACUUUUUUGAAUCAUUUUUCUGUGUGAUACAUAGAAGGAUUUCAUACUUAACCAGAGCUUUGAGCUCCCAUUGCAACCCAGGAGCCCUGCAUCUCUGUCUUGCUGUAGCAAAGCUUUUAUAAUUGCAUUUUGUAGGGUCACAAGUGUGCUCUCUGCUCCUUAUGUUCUAGAGUGUCACAAGAGUGUUACAUGGAUUCAUACUACAUUAGAUAUUAAAUGUGUCUCCACUCCAUAUGGUUGGAAAGAUGGUUUGCUGUUUAAGAACACUGGAUGUUCUCAUACACAGAACACACAUGGUUUUCAAAAAUCUUCAUUCAUUCUAAUACCAGGGCAUUGAGUAGAGUCAUGAGUGCGAUUUUGCUCCUUAUGUUCUAGAUUGUUAUAAGGGAUUGUCGUCGAUUCAUAAUACAUUAGAUACUAAAUGUGUCCCCAUGGUGGCAAGAAUGAUGGUUUGCUGUUUGUGUUAUCAAAUUCAUAAAUAAUUUGAAAAAUGUUUUUCCAUGUUUCUGUACAGAAAAGUGAUUUGCAGAAAAUAUUUUAUGUAAUACUCUAGCUAUAUAUUCUUACUUCUUUUGAAUUCUGAUUAUACUGUGAGUUGGUCUACAAAACAUUUACCCUACUUGUUCUUUGUAGUUAGAUUUCUAACUUACAUUAUUUUCAAGAUGGUCUAACCUAAAAUUCUCCUUUUUCUUUGUUUAGCCUUUUGCAACAGAUCCCAAAACCAAACUUUAUACUAUUAAAACAUCUCAUAUGUGUAUUAGUAAUAAUAAAAAAUUCUUCCAUGAAUAAUUUAGACAGUUACAGGUUAUCUCUGCGCAUAGCUCCACAUGUACUGUGGGGUCAGACUUCGAGAGAUUCAUUAUUUGGGAGUGACGUCUUAAGAAAGGAAACCCUAGGAUUGCAUUCUUAUGGAGUGGAGUAGAAUAUGUAUUGAUCUAUUUCAGGAAGAUUUGGAAAGGGAGAUUUUUAAUGCAGUUUAAAAUGUCUCUUAUACAAAUUAUGAUUGACAACUAUGAUCAAAUAUUUGGAAAUGAUGAUAUAUUUAGUAAACACACUGACAAAAGGUCUGAAGACUUAAAGACAUAAACAGAAUCAAUAAAUUAUUCUGGAAAUUCUCCUAUUAUGACAAAAGCCAUAGCUGGCCACAACAAGAAAACCAAUGAUAUUGAUGAAAAAUUUAAUAUUUCAUAUGCUGCACUGCAGGAAGAAGGUCCUACAGAGAAACAGAAAGGCUAUAUAUAUGCAUACCAAGCCACCAGUUUAUUCUGAUCCAACACCACCAAGAAAGAAAUGCUUAUUUGGCAAAACUCUUACAAACAUUUAUGUCGACAGAAAGCUGCCUGCUCCAAAACUUGACUUCAUUGCAAACAUUGAAGGAAGUUUACUUACUUCUGACUUAUAUGAGAAUUGACUUAGCAUCCCAGAUGAAGGAACUCUGGUUGGAAAAAUUAAUGCCAUCCAAAGAUGUCCAUUACACAAAUCAUGAUCGACAACUAUCAUCAAAUAUUUGGAAAUGAUGAUAUAUUUAAUAAACAUAUUGACAGAAGAUCUGAGGAUUUAAAGACUUGUGCAGAUUCAAUAAACUCUUCUGGCAAAUCACCUAUUAUGAAAGAAUUCCUAGCUGGCCACAACAGGAAAACAUGCAAUAAUGGUGUAAAAUUAAAAAUUUCAUCCAUUGCUCUGCAGGAGGAAGGUCCUACAGGACAGAACAGAACAACUACCACAUAUAAGUGGUAGAAGAUGACUGAAGACAUUAUAAGGUCAUUCUAUUUUAAUGUUCCCUUCUACCUUCCACUUAAUCAUAGCAGAACAAUUAUUACAAGAUCCUGCUUCAGCAUUCAUAUGCUAUCAUAAUAAAUGUUAAAAUAAAUAAAAGUGUUAUUGCUUACA